CGCGGCCUAGGAGAAGGAAACGGAAAUCGCUACGACUCCCUCCCUCGGCCUCCACAGGCCGGACGGUCCUCUCAGAGAAAACUCCGGGACCGGAACCAAAUGAAAAUCUUACCAAGCCACCUUCAAUUUCCUUGAGAAAAAUCAGGAGUUCAAGGUAGCAAGUUUGAGUCCAGCCUAAGAUGAAUGGGACCCUGUCUCAAAACAAAACAAACAAAAAUUCACCUCAAGCGACCCUUCUUUGUCUUCAUACAGCCAGUUACGCGUGGAAACCACAAUAUAGAUCACUUUUGUGCUUAGAUCCCUUCGCUGGCUCUCCAGUUCACUCAAUCAAAGGCCACCUCCAAAGAGGACCUUCACUAAGUCCCCAGUGCUCACAUAGUGAUUCCAAACCAUCUGUUAACUCCAGUUACUGGUGAUCUGAUGCCCACUCUCUGCCUGAAUCAUCAGGUAGUGUAAAUGAACUCUUGCAGCCUCACAUACAAAUAAGAGAAAAAAGAAAGGAAGAAAGGAAAAAAACUACAAAGAGCAGAAGCCUUUCUGUUGUUCACAGAUAUAGCCCAAGUGCUCACAACAACAUCUGAUGUGGAAGGGGUACAUACCUGUCAAGGAUCACACUGGUAUGUCAGAGAGGAUGGCCUUCCUGAAGAUCAUUUAUGAAAAAAAAAUGAACCUAAAGCUAUUCUUGAGAACAUCGUGGUCACACACACCUGGAAUUUCAGCACUUGGGAUGUGACCACAAGAGGAUCAGGAA